rnacentral:rRNA from 1 species
UGGGGAAUUUUGGACAAUGGGGGAAACCCUGAUCCAGCCAUCCCGCGUGUGCGAUGAAGGCCUUCGGGUUGUAAAGCACUUUUGGCAGGAAAGAAACGUCGCGGGUUAAUACCCCGCGAAACUGACGGUACCUGCAGAAUAAGCACCGGCUAACUACGUGCCAGCAGCCGCGGUAAUACGUAGGGUGCAAGCGUUAAUCGGAAUUACUGGGCGUAAAGCGUGCGCAGGCGGUUCGGAAAGAAAGAUGUGAAAUCCCAGAGCUUAACUUUGGAACUGCAUUUUUAACUACCGGGCUAGAGUGUGUCAGAGGGAGGUGGAAUUCCGCGUGUAGCAGUGAAAUGCGUAGAUAUGCGGAGGAACACCGAUGGCGAAGGCAGCCUCCUGGGAUAACACUGACGCUCAUGCACGAAAGCGUGGGGAGCAAACAGGAUUAGAUACCCUGGUAGUCCACGCCCUAAACGAUGUCAACUAGCUGUUGGGGCCUUCGGGCCUUGGUAGCGCAGCUAACGCGUGAAGUUGACCGCCUGGGGAGUACGGUCG